rnacentral:rRNA from 1 species
GAUGAACGCUGGCGGCGUGCCUAAUACAUGCAAGUCGAACGCACAGCGAAAGGUGCUUGCACCUUUCAAGUGAGUGGCGAACGGGUGAGUAACACGUGGACAACCUGCCUCAAGGCUGGGGAUAACAUUUGGAAACAGGUGCUAAUACCGAAUAAAACUCAGUGUCGCAUGACACAAAGUUAAAAGGCGCUUUGGCGUCACCUAGAGAUGGAUCCGCGGUGCA